UAGUCAUACGCUCGACUCAAAGAUUAAGCCAUGCAUGUCUAAGUAUGAGCACGUUCUGUGUGAGACCGCGAAUGGCUCAGUAAAUCGGUUGUGGUCUCUUGGAUCCGAGUUUCUAGUAGAUAACUACUUGGAUAACCGUGGCAAUUCUAGAGCUAAUACAUGCAGGUGUAAGCGACGCCUUCUCGGGCGCCGUGCAUUCAUUAGGUCAAGACCAACGGGACCGUGCUCGCACGCUCCCUCGACUGGUGACUCUAAAUGACCAUGCAGAUCGCACGGCCCUCGCGCCGGCGACGGUUCGAUCGAGUGUCUGAACUAUCAGCCUGGCGGUAGGUUAAGAGCCUACCGUGGCUGUGACGGGUGACGGGGAAUCUGGGUUCGAUUCCGGAGAGGCAGCCUGAGAAACGGCUACCACAUCCAAGGAAGGCAGCAGGCGCGCAAAUUACCCAAUCCCGGCACGGGGAGGUAGUGACGAAAAAUAACGGUGCGGCGCUCGAACGAGCGUCCGUAAUCGGAAUGAGUCGGCUCUAAAUCCUUGAACGAGGAUCUAUUGGAGGGCAAGUCUGGUGCCAGCAGCCGCGGUAAUUCCAGCUCCAAUAGCGCAUAUUAAAGUUGUUGCGGUUAAAACGCUCGUAGUCGGAUUUCGGUAGCGACCGGCGCGGUCCGCGCUUGUUUCGCGGUUACUGCGUCGGUCGUUACGGAACGAGCCCGAGUCGCCUGCCGAUCCUCUUCAUCGAGUGUCGGGGGCGGCGGGCACGUUUACUUUGAGAAAAACAGAGUGCUCAAAAGCCGGCAAUAGCGAUUGUUAACGCUCGAAUGUCGUUGCAUGGAAUAAUGGAAUAGGACCUCGGCUCUCAAUUCUGUUGGUCUCAGGGGCCGAGGUAAUGAUAAACGGGAGUAGUGACGGGGGCAUUCGUACCGCGGCGCGAGAGGUGAAAUUCUUGGACCGUCGCGGGACGCACCGAGGCGAAAGCGUUUGCCAAGAACGCUUCCAUCGAUCAAGAGCGAAAGCUAGAGGUUCGAAGGCGAUCAGAUACCGCCCUAGUUCUAGCCAUAAACGAUGCCGACCGCUGAUCCGCCGUGGUUAAUAAACCGACCCGACGGGACGACCCCGGGAAACCAGAGUUUUCGGGUUCCGGGGGAAGUAUGGUCGCAAGGCUGGAACUUAAAAGCAUUGACGGAAAGGCACCACCAGGAGUGGGGCCUGCGGCUUAAUUUGACUCAACACGGGAAAUCCUACCAGGCCCGGACACCUUUAGGAUUGACAGACUGAAGGCUCUUUCUCGAUCAGGUGGGUGGUGGUGCAUGGCCGUUCUUAGUUCGUGGAGCGAUCUGUCUGGUUUAUUCCGAUAACGAACGAGGCUCCAACCUACUAACUAGGUCGUCAAUUCCGAGGUGCACAGCAUGAGCGUCCGUCGGUCGGCCCGCGCUCGGCUCGUCCUCGUUCGGUCUCGGCCGGGCGGGGGCGGACGGGCACGGCGUCGACACGGCGGGUUUCCUCGGUCGAACUUCUUAGGGGGACAAACGGCGUUUAGCCGAAUGAAACGGAGCAAUAACAGGUCUGUGAUGCCCUCAGAUGUCCUGGGCUGCACGCGCGCCACAAUGGAGGUCUCAGCGCGUUUUCCCUGCCCUAGAGGGUCGGGUAAUCGCUGAAAGUCCGCUUCUUAGUCGGGAUAGGGAGCUGAAACGUUCCCUUGCACAAGGAAUUCCUAGUAGGCGCCUCUCACUAAUCGGGGACGAUUGCGUCCCUGCCCUUUGUACACACCGCCCGUCGCUACUACCGAUUGGGUGGUCCAGUGAGGCCUUUGGACCGCGCGCCGUCGCCGGGUCUUUCACGAGGCUCGCUCGUCGCGCGGGAAUCUGUCCAAACUUGAUCGCCUAGAGGAAGUAAAAGUCGUAACAAGGUUUCCGUAG
rnacentral:rRNA from 1 species